rnacentral:lncRNA from 1 species
AAAUAUAUACAUUUAAUCCAUUAAUAUAAGUCUAAGGGUACGUUAAUAUACCAGUAUACAUACAAAACUAGUGAUUUGACAUCUAAGAUACAAUUUAGCCCCCUUACAACCAUCAAUGUAAUCAAAAUAACUAUUGAAAAUAAAGAUUACAUUUCUAGCUAUGUGGAAAAGGAAACAUACUUUCUGCAGGAGCGAAGAGAAUCUACUUC